UGCAAUGCACCCGAUGACGCCCGAUUUGGGUCAAGGAGGGUGCUGUGCACUAGAAGAUGCUGUGGUUCUGGGGAGGCAGAUUGGGAAUUCCUUCCUGAAGAAUGGCAAGUCGCUGGUACCGGAAGAGAUGGGGUCAGUGUUGAAUGGGUAUGUUAAGGAGAGGAGAUGGAGGGCGGCCGGGUUGGUUACGGGUUCGUACGUAUCGGGUUGGGUUCAGCAGAGUGGGCAAAAUUGGUGGAGGAAGCUGCUCAG
rnacentral:lncRNA from 1 species